ACAUCUGAGUCAAUUCCUCAAAUGCCCCAGACUCCCCCAUAUGACUGCUGCCCUUCAUGUGCUGGGAUAUCUCAAGGGCACUUCUUCUUUGGGUCUCUUUUAUUCUAAUUGCAAUGAUUUCACUGUUAUUGGUUAUUUUGAUAGUGACUGGGCUGCAUGCCCUGAUACAAGGAGGUCUGUUACUGGGUUCUGUAUUACUCUGGGUGGUUGCCUGAUUAGUUGGAAAUCUAAGAAGCAACAUGUGGUUUCUUUAUCUUCUGCUGAGGUUGAAUACAGGGCCCUCAGUAAGGUUGUUGCAGAACUAUCUUGGUUGUCUCGUUUGUUUCAUGAUCUUGGUAUUUCUGUUUUUCUUCCUUUUUCCGUGUAUUGUGACAGUCAGGCUGCCAUUCACAUUGCUAAGAAUCCUGUUUUUCAUGAACGGACCAAACACAUUGAAGUGGAUUGUCACGCUAAGAAUCCUGUUUUUCAUGAACGGACCAAACACAUUGAACUGGAUUGUCACUUUGUACGCGAUCAGCUCCAGAAUUGCCUCAUUCAGCUGUUUCAUGUUUCUACAACUCGUCAGCUAGCUGACAUUAUGACCAAGCCCUUGCCUGGCACAGUGCUUCAUCCCUUAUUGCUCAAGUUGCAGGUGGUCUCCCCCUACAACUUGCGGGGGGGUGUUGAGAUAAGAGAUGUUGAGAUAAGAGAUCAUACCUGACAUACACUUGUAUGGACUUUGUAUAUUCAUUGUAUACUCAUUGUAUAUUUGCGGUAUACUCAUGGUAUACCUUGUAAUGGGCGAUGAUGAUUACUGUGUAUCUGAGCCCACAGGUUACUUAAUUUUGGGCCGGAUCACCCGACCCGACCCGAUAGUGUGUAAGUUGUAUAUAGUAUAUGAGUAGAUAUUUUCACGGACUUGAUUUCAUUUUCAUCACUCUGAUUAAUAAACUCUCUCUCUCUUCUAGAGAGUUCUCAAACGCUCCUCCUUCUCUCUAGAUUCUCUCUCUAAAUUUUCCAUGAUUUUUCGAUUUAAUCUCAACGUUUACAUGGUAUCAGAGCCUAGACGACGAUCCGAUUAUGUUUUUCUACAU
rnacentral:lncRNA from 1 species